rnacentral:misc_RNA from 1 species
CAACCCUCGAGCCCCUACGGGCUUGGUGUUGGGGAUCGGCCGCCGCCCACGGCCGGCCGGCCCCGAAAUGCAGUGGCGGUCCCGCCGCAGCGUCCUCUGCGUAGUAGCACACACCUCGCACUGGAACGCGGCGCGGCCACGCCGUAAAGCAAAGAGGCGCCCGCCUCUUUCUCUUCAAGG